GAAGUCGGAGAGCAGCUUCUUGACGAAGCGCAGCUCGCUGAGGAAGUUGGCCGGCCCAACGCUCGACGACUCGUCCACCAGGAACACCAGCUCCAGCCGCCCGCUGCGCGCCCGCAGCCGCCGCACCUGGCGCUUGAACGCGCGGCCCAGCUUCUCCACUUUGCUCUCCGUCGUGUCGGGCAGCUGCGGCCCCGCCAGGGCGGGAGAGGCGAGGCUGGGGGCGCGGGAGAGGGCGCCCGCAGGGCCCAGCCGGCCCUGGGGCGCGGACGGCGACAACGACAACGACAGCCCCCCCAAGCAGCACAAAGCCACCAGGGGCCACAUCGCGGGGCGGCGGGCGCGAGGACACGCCGGCAGCAGCGGAGCAGAGCGGCUACUCGCCCUCUGACGCCCCACCUCCUCUCCGCUCUCCUCGGAGGGGCGGCCUGCCUCCCGCCAGCCCCCGCAGGGGACACUUCAUCCGCCUGUGGACUCAGUUUAUCAGCUCUGAAGAUGUAGCAGUACCUCACUGAUACGCGGUCUCACUAGGCGAUGGCGAGGUCUCUGGAUACACGGGGUUACUCUCUUCAAAAUCACUGGCAUUCAACCUACUUGUGCAGAGAAGAGACACUAAGUAAAACGUUACAAGAAACUGUGAGAGUUGGCAUCAGCAUCUGUAAUAAACACAAUCUAAUGGUAUGAGGGAAAGAGUGAGAGCAUCCAAAGUAUUCCAGAGUGUUCCCAACAUGAUUUGGUAAAAAUAUUAAAUAAUUUAUGGAAUAAACCAAAACUUUAAA